GACGAACCGUGCGAACGUUAUUCGGAAUCACUGGGCUUAAAGCGCGUGUAGGCGGAUCGGAACGUCGGAGCCUGAAAUCCCCCGGCUCAACCGGGGAACGCGGCCCGAAACGACCGGUCUCGAGGGGUGUAGGGGGGACUGGAACUUCCGGUGGAGCGGUGAAAUGCGUUGAGAUCGGAAGGAACGCCCGUGGCGAAAGCGAGUCCCUGGACGCCUGCUGACGCUGAGACGCGAAAGCUAGGGGAGCGAACGGG
rnacentral:rRNA from 1 species